rfam:Parcubacteria bacterium GW2011_GWB1_44_7 TW71_C0035, whole genome shotgun sequence.
GCGGGCGUAGUUCAAUGGUAGAACGCUGUCCUGAUAAGACAGAGGUUCAUGGUCCGAUUCCAUGCGCCCGCA